AGUGGGGAAUUUUGGACAAUKGGCGCAAGCCUGAUCCAGCAAUGCCGCGUGCAGGAUGAAGGCCUUCGGGUUGUAAACUGCUUUUGUACGGAGCGAAAAGGCUCUCUCUAAUACAGGGGGCUCAUGACGGUACCGUAAGAAUAAGCACCGGCUAACUACGUGCCAGCAGCCGCGGUAAUACGUAGGGUGCAAGCGUUAAUCGGAAUUACUGGGCGUAAAGCGUGCGCAGGCGGUUAUGUAAGACAGAUGUGAAAUCCCCGGGCUCAACCUGGGAACUGCAUUUGUGACUGCAUAGCUAGAGUACGGCAGAGGGGGAUGGAAUUCCGCGUGUAGCAGUGAAAUGCGUAGAUAUGCGGAGGAACACCGAUGGCGAAGGCAAUCCCCUGGGCCUGUACUGACGCUCAUGCACGAAAGCGUGGGGAGCAAACAGGAUUAGAUACCCUGGUAGUCCACGCCCUAAACGAUGUCAACUGGUUGUUGGGUCUUCACUGACUCAGUAACGAAGCUAACGCGUGAAGUUGACCGCCUGGGGAGUACGGCCGCAAGGUUGAAACUC
rnacentral:rRNA from 1 species